CACCGAUUCAUGCUAUAAUCUCCAGUUUCAGAAAUUGGCAGGUGUUUAUCGCUUCACUGUGUGCUUAGACCGUUGAAUUUUCUGGUAUAAUGAUGUGUUCAUCGUUGCUCUUUAAUCAGACCCUUAUGGUUUCUGAGCUACAUCUGGACACAACAUUUUCUCAUUCUUCACAAUAGCAUUUUUAAUAGUAAUACUUAUUGAUUUUAGUCUCUAAUAUACUCUCAAUCGUCUGGUAUCUUUAAUUCAUUUUUAGUGAAGCUCUCUUUAUCGGGAGACUUUAAAUGUAUAAAUUUCGUUUAUUUGAAUUAUAUACUCUGAAACUUUUACUAUAAA